AACGAACGCUGGCGGCAGGCUUAACACAUGCAAGUCGAACGCCCCGCAAGGGGAGUGGCAGACGGGUGAGUAACGCGUGGGAACGUACCUUUCAGUUCGGAAUAACUCAGGGAAACUUGUGCUAAUACCGGAUACGCCCGCAAGGGGAAAGAUUUAUCGCUGAAAGAUCGGCCCGCGUUGGAUUAGCUAGUUGGUGGGGUAAAGGCCUACCAAGGCGACGAUCCAUAGCUGGUCUGAGAGGAUGAUCAGCCACACUGGGACUGAGACACGGCCCAGACUCCUACGGGAGGCGGCAGUAGGGAAUAUUGGACAAGGGGCGAAAGCCUGAUCCAGCCAUGCCGCGUGUGUGAUGAAGGCGUUAGGGUUGUAAAGCACUUUCACCGAUGAAGAUAAUGACGGUAGUCGGAGAAGAAGCCCCGGCUAACUUCGUGCCAGCAGCCGCGGUAA
rnacentral:rRNA from 1 species